ensembl:misc_RNA 7SK 7SK RNA
AGAUGUGAGGGUGAUCUGGCUGCAACAUCUGUCACCCCAUUGAUCGCCAGGGUUGAUUCUGCUGAUCUGGCUGGCUAGGUAUGUGUCCCCUUCCUCCCUCACAGCUCCGUGUGUGUCCCUCCCAAAGCUGCGCACUCUGUAGAAGAGGACCACCUUCCCCAAUAGAGACAGACCAAUCUUCAGUGGAGGGUAGCUGCGCUCCUCUGCUAGAACCUCCAAACAAGCUCAAAAACAGUUACUCAAUGUGAAAAAUCAACCACUAGCUUAAAAUCUUCCUCUUAUUAUCUGUAUUCUGU